rnacentral:rRNA from 1 species
GACGAACGCUGGCGGCGUGCUUAACACAUGCAAGUCGAACGGAAAGGCCCUGCUUUUGUGGGUUGCUCGAGUGGCGAACGGGUGAGUAACAAGUGAGUAACCUGCCCUUGACUUUGGGAUAACUUCAGGAAACUGGGGCUAAUACCGGAUAGGAGCUCCUGCUGCAUGGUGGGGGUUGGAAAGUUUCGGCGGUUGGGGAUGGACUCGCGGCUUAUCAGCUUGUUGGUGGGGUAGUGGCUUACCAAGGCUUUAACGGGUAGCCGGCCUGAGAGGGUGACCGGCGACAUUGGGACUGAGAUACGGCCCAGACACCUACGGGAGGCAGCAGUGGGGAAUAUUGCACAAUGGGCGGAAGCCUGAUGCAGCAACGCCGCGUGCGGGAUGACGGCCUUCGGGUUGUAAACCGCGUUCGCCUGUGACGAAGCGUGAGUGACGGUAAUGGGUAAAGAAGCACCGGCUAACUACGUG